rnacentral:rRNA from 1 species
UAAUACGGAGGGCGCAAGCGUUACUCGGAAUCACUGGGCGUAAAGAGCGUGUAGGCGGGUUUGUAAGUUGGGAGUGAAAUCCUAUGGCUCAACCAUAGAACUGCUUCCAAAACUGCUUACCUAGAAUGAGGGAGAGGUAGAUGGAAUUUCUGGUGUAGGGGUAAAAUCCGUAGAGAUCAGAAGGAAUACCGAUUGCGAAGGCGAUCUACUGGAACUUUAUUGACGCUGAGACGCGAAAGCGUGGGGAGCAAACAGGAUUAGAUACCCUGGUAGUCCACGCCCUAAACGAUGUACACUAGUUGUUGCGAUGCUAGACAUUGCAGUAAUGCACCUAACGGAUUAAGUGUACCGCCUGGGGAGUACGGUCGCAAGAUUA